CACUUACAAUAAACCAUAAUGUCUCUAUAAAGACUGCUAUAACACUUGCAGCUCAACAGGUGACUUAAUUUGUAAACAGAACAGGUGUUGGUUGUACUCUGUAGCAACAUUCGGGAUAAUUUUCUUGUCAUGGAGUGGUACUUUGACUGCGGUUGGUAUAGAGGGUGUGAAGAAAGCUGCCGCAAUGUUCGAAGGAGAGCUUGCAACAGUUGCCUCAACUGCACUAGUUCCUUUGAUCGCGAAUGCCUAAGAAGUUGCAUGAAGGGUUGCGCUGGUUUCUGUUUUGGACUCUUGUUCGUCAUAAUCUUUAUUUCUGGAUUCACCCUAGACCUCACAUUUGGUAUUUUAUGUGUUGAUGACAUAGAAAGAGUAAACAGAACGUAUUGUUCGGGUAUACCUGGCACCAAGGCAGCCAUAGGAAUGAUCGUAUCGGGAUGCAUUGGACUUCUCUUCGCGAUUGGAGUCUGCCUGGCAGGACUGAGAAGUUGCUUAAAAAGUUAAAGUAGAAAGUGAACACAGUGUUGACACAAGGGGUAACUUGAGGCACGAAA